GCCCACUUUUUCCUUUUCCAUAAAAAUGUAUUUAAGAUGCACGUAGGUGUAGUCUAAAGUUUCAUUCCUCUGAUGAUAUCUGUAAACUGCUCAGUAAGAGUUUCAUCUAAAUGGGUUGUGAAAUCUAUGCAUGAGAUUUCUGAUGCUGACCAUUUGCAAGAAGAAAAUUGGUUCAUUCUAGCAGCACAAAUGGUCAAAACACAUUAAGAAUACCACAAUCUUAUGUGAACAAAACAUAGGCAAGUCUAGAAUCUAUAAAAUAUUUCAACAAAGAGAGUUAUAGUGCAAUUAUGCAAUACAAAUCAGAACAAAGAAAAAGAAAAAAAUGAACAGAAGGGCUUAAAAUCAAAGAAACAAUGCACAGUAAAGGUAACGCAGUAUAGGACGAUAGAAUUUAGGAAUUAUGUAGAUUGUAAAAUUAGGAUGUUUAGAUUUUAUUGUUUAG
rnacentral:misc_RNA from 1 species